rnacentral:rRNA from 1 species
UACGUAGGGUGCAAGCGUUAAUCGGAAUUACUGGGCGUAAAGCGUGCGCAGGCGGUUGUGCAAGACCGAUGUGAAAUCCCCGGGCUUAACCUGGGAAUGGCAUUGGUGACUGUACGGCUAGAGUGUGUCAGAGGGGGGUAGAAUUCCACGUGUAGCAGUGAAAUGCGUAGAGAUGUGGAGGAAUACCGAUGGCGAAGGCAGCCCCCUGGGAUGACACUGACGCUCAUGCACGAAAGCGUGGGGAGCAAACAGGAUUG